rnacentral:rRNA from 1 species
GCUAAGCCAUUAACAUUGAUAGCUAUUAUACAACCUCUCCGCCAGAGAACUACAAGUGAAAAACUUAAAACUCAAAGGACUUGACGGUGUCCCAUAUCGACCUAGAGGAGCCUGUCCUAUAAUCGAUACCCCCCGCUCCACCCAACCCCAACUAGCAUACGUCAGCCUAUAUACCGCCGUCGAUCAGCCUACCCUAUGAAAGUCCAACAGUAGACACAAUAGCCCCACCGCUAAUACGUCAGGUCAAGGUGUAGCAAAUGUUGUGGAAGAGAUUGGCUACAUUUUUUAUUAUAAAAAAUACGAAAUAUACCAUGAAACAGUAUAUGAAGGUGAAUUUAGUAGUAAAAUAAACAAGAGUGUUUAUUUUAACAACGCUCUGGGACGCGUACACACCGCCCGUCACCCUCCUCAACCAACCAAAACACCACUAUUUAUAAACCAACAAAAGUUAAAUAGAGGAGGU